rnacentral:lncRNA from 1 species
GCAAAGGACAGUCACAGAGCACACGGUCUGGUCAUCUGAGGACCUGCACAUGCUGACUGAGAGAGCGAUCUGUCCCUGACUCACACUGGAUUGGAUAGCGACAGAACAUUUGUUACACAUUUAAUGCUCCUUUUGUAAUAUUCCAAUAAAACGCAGGGUGCUGAAGCUCCCAUAAUCCUAAUAGCAUUAAAAUGGUCAAUUUACUAUAACUGAUGCAAAAAUUCAUUACAGGAUAUUUGAAAGGAGACAGAUCUGGAGCAGGCUUAGCUAAAAAACUCCAACAGAAAGAAGAGUUCUGAAAAGAGCAGCAUCAACAUUCUGCUGCACUUCUCCUUUUGUGAUCUAUAGAAAAGAAGGAAGUUUGAAAGUCCAUCCAUCUGGCUCCAUUCUGGGUCCAUUCCACCAAAACUAUGAAGUUCAUAAAGAAACACAACUCUAUAGCUGAUUGUAAAACAAAUCAGUAUCCAUAAAAGAAGAUCCAAAUAUUUCUUCUUUUGUGUUGAAGAUGAACAAAAGUUUUAACUUACUGGUUUGGAGCAGCAUGAGGGUGCGCAACUGAUGAGUGAAUUUUCAUUUUUGGGUGAACUCUCCCUUUAAGAGGAAACUAUGUUUCCCAUCGCCCCAGGCUUACAGAUGGAGACUUUGCUCCUGAGAUUCCCUCAUUAAGUUAUUAACUGGGUCGGGCUGUAUUCCUUUCUCAAGGUAUAAUGCCAGAAGUAACAAAGCAGCACGGAAGUGAUCAAAGUGGAUCUUAAAAUCGAAGAGACAAGAUAUUUUUGAUUCAUGAUCAUAACGUUAAACCGUCAGAAAACGAUCCUGUGUCUCGACCUGUUCAGUGAACACUGGGGUCACGCUGGACUUGAGUGAUUGAGCUUUGAACUAAAACAGACGCAGCACACAUGGAAAAUGCACAUCAUUAGCACUGGAGGGCAUGUAAUUGCUGCGUUCAUCAAAAGCUUGUGAUCUUACGCAUCCAGCAUUCUCUUCCACGUCACUGAACUGCU